rnacentral:rRNA from 1 species
UACGAAGGGGGCUAGCGUUGCUCGGAAUCACUGGGCGUAAAAGGUGCGUAGGCGGGUCUUUAAGUCAGGGGUGAAAUCCUGGAGCUCAACUCCAGAACUGCCUUUGAUACUGAAGAUCUUGAGUUCGGGAGAGGUGAGUGGAACUGCGAGUGUAGAGGUGAAAUUCGUAGAUAUUCGCAAGAACACCAGUGGCGAAGGCGGCUCACUGGCCCGAUACUGACGCUGAGGCACGAAAGCGUGGGGAGCAAACAGG